UAUAUACAACGUAAAUUAUUAUGUUCUACGCUACAAAACACACGCUUAAAGACUGCUCGUUAUCGAUCGUCAUCAUUGAUGGAUCAGACGAGUACUUACCCGUAUAUGAUGCAUUUCAAUCUGAAUGUACUACUGAAAUUGAAAUAAUUGACCUGUGUGAUGAUGAAGAAAAUAACUACUAUAACAAAUCGAUGGAAAAAGUGAAACGAUGGAAUUGCGAUCCCGCACUAUCUGUUUCGUAUUAUUGGGACGAUAUCAUCGUUGAUACAACCGUCAACACAAAUAAUUGUUCCAUAAUAAAUCUCAUCAGCGAUGAUGGGAGUGAUGAGAUGAUGUCAAUCGACUAGCUAUGUAAUAACGAAGAUAAAAUAAAUAAUUAUACGCCAUAAUAAAAUAUUAUAAUGGAUAAAUCUACCAUAUUGGCUAUUAUGGAGUAUGGACUGCUUGUCGUCUAGUGAAAGUUCUGGCGAUGAAGAAACCAUUAAAUUAAAAAAAUACACAAGUUGAAAACAUUCAAGAUAGCAUCGACGGUACAACGGUAUUACCAAUUCAAGAUCUUGUGUUACGUGAUCGUGCUACCGCUAAUCAAGUUAAAAAUUAUUUAGCAAAUUACUUUCUCACUCCUCGAGCCUC